CGGCGUGCCUAACACAUGCAAGUCGAGCGAGGAGAUCCUUCGGGAUGAUCCUAGCGGCGGACGGGUGAGUAACACGUGGGCAACCUGCCUCAUAGAGAGGAAUAGCCUUCCGAAAGGGAGAUUAAUACCUCAUAACAUUGCAGUUUCGCAUGGAACAGCAAUUAAAGGAGUAAUCCGCUAUGAGAUGGGCCCGCGGCGCAUUAGCUAGUUGGUGAGGUAACGGCUCACCAAGGCGACGAUGCGUAGCCGACCUGAGAGGGUGAUCGGCCACAUUGGGACUGAGACACGGCCCAGACUCCUACGGGAGGCAGCAGUGGGGAAUAUUGCACAAUGGGGGAAACCCUGAUGCAAGCAACGCCGCGUGAGUGAUGACGGCCUUCGGGUUGUAAAGCUCUGUCUUCAGGGACGAUAAUGACGGUACCUGAGGAGGAAGCCACGGCUAACUACGUGCCAGCAGCCGC
rnacentral:rRNA from 1 species